GACGAACGCUGGCGGCGUGCUUAACACAUGCAAGUCGAACGGAAAGGCCCUGCUUUUGUGGGGUGCUCGAGUGGCGAACGGCUGAGUAACACGUGAGUAACCUGCCCUUGACUUUGGGAUAACUUCAGGAAACUGGGGCUAAUACCGGAUAGGAGCUCCUGCUGCAUGGUGGGGGUUGGAAAGUUUCGGCGGUUGGGGAUGGACUCGCGGCUUAUCAGCUUGUUGGUGGGGUAGUGGCUUACCAAGGCUUUGACGGGUAGCCGGCCUGAGAGGGUGACCGGCCACAUUGGGACUGAGAUACGGCCCAGACUCCUACGGGAGGCAGCAGUGGGGAAUAUUGCACAAUGGGCGGAAGCCUGAUGCAGCAACGCCGCGUGCGGGAUGACGGCCUUCGGGUUGUAAACUGCUUUCGCCUGUGACGAAGCGUGAGUGACGGUAAUGGGUAAAGAAGCACCGGCUAACUACGUG
rnacentral:rRNA from 1 species